ensembl:lncRNA
CUCGACUUCAUGUUACUUGGCUUAACUCUUGUAAAUAGAAUAAAUAUUUUCAUCGAUUUAUUGAUUGCACACGUGCAGAAAUUGGGGGGGAUCCUAAAUAAAAAUCGGCAUGCUGAAUAUGUUACUGCUUUGGUGGACACACUACUUUUUAAAUUAUAUCCAACUGAUCUUCUUAAAACAAUAAAUUAACACUUUAAGUUUGCUGCUGUAAUUGUAUCUUUUCACUGUACUUUCAGUUGAAAGAAACUGAUCCGCUAAUGUAAUCCAGAAUCGAUUGUUGCAUAUUUCAAUCAUCCCCUGCGCAGAACGCUCUGAGAUCGUGGCAUUAGUGCUGAGGUUUGCCUUUGAUUCACGUUCCAAGUAAAGGGGCUCUAAAACUCUUCUCCAUAUAUAAAAACACAGGCCCCCAAUUAACGAUUCGAGCUGUUAGCUUCAGGAGUCUUGAAGCGUCACCUUUGACAUGUCCCCUAUGCGCACGAGCGGGGGCCCGGGGCUGUGGGCCCCAGGACUGACCACUGCAAGCUGUCAAGCUGUCACCCCACCCGGGCUUGGACGCUUUCGCCGGGCUCCUAACAGUCCAGUUAUCCCGCUCUCUCGCUUGACUGGACAUGAAACUGACUUUUUGGAGUCGAUUUUUAACUAUAAACAAUGUGUAGUCGUGCAAAGUGAUAUCUCUUUAAUGUAUGUGUGGGGGUGUGGUGGGGGAUCCUGUAACUGCCUUGGUAAUUUUUGUCUUGCCAACCAAAAAAAAUUAUUGGUUCUUUUUGUUCUUUUAAAAACGUAUGUGUACAAAUUCAGCAUGGACGAAUUGUGUUAUAGAUUUUGAUCUGCCUCCUAUCUUUUACACAAUCUACAUUAAUUGUGUUUAUAUAGAUUGAAUUUGCUAACUGCAUUUUGCAAAGUCGGAUUGACACUUUUUUAACUGUUUAAAAUACAAACGAAUUUUUGUAACACUGAUUUGGCAUAUAAAUGGGUUUUGCCUAUUCAUUUUUGUGCAGAAUGAAGUUUACCCAUGAAACAUAAUGUGCUGUGUCAUUAUUCUGCCAGGCCGCGGAAGCGGGACACACUCCUGAUGGCUUGGUUCGUUACUCUUAAUAGCACAACAAUAGAAACAUCUGUCCAGCCUUUCUUUGCCUAUUACCAAUCCGUCUGUCCUUGAUCCCA